rnacentral:rRNA from 1 species
AGUAACGCGUGGGCAACCUGCCCCAUAGAGGGGGACAACAGCUGGAAACGGCUGCUAAUACCGCAUAACAAGGAGAGAGCGCAUGUUCUUUUCUUCAAAGAUUUAUCGCUAUGGGAUGGACCCGCGUCUGAUUAGCUGGUUGGUGAGGUAACGGCUCACCAAGGCGACGAUCAGUAGCCGGCUUGAGAGAGUGGACGGCCACAUUGGAACUGAGACACGGCCCAGACUCCUACGGGAGGCAGCAG